GAUGAACGCUGGCGGCGUGCCUAAUACAUGCAAGUAGAACGCUGAAGGAGGAGCUUGCUCUUCUGGAUGAGUUGCGAACGGGUGAGUAACGCGUAGGUAACCUGCCUGGUAGCGGGGGAUAACUAUUGGAAACGAUAGCUAAUACCGCAUGACAACAGUUAUUGCAUGAUAACUGUUUAAAAGGGGCAACUGCUCCACUACCAGAUGGACCUGCGUUGUAUUAGCUAGUUGGUGAGGUAACGGCUCACCAAGGCGACGAUACAUAGCCGACCUGAGAGGGUGAUCGGCCACACUGGGACUGAGACACGGCCCAGACUCCUACGGGAGGCAGCAGUAGGGAAUCUUCGGCAAUAGACGGAAGUCUGACCGAGCAACGCCGCGUGAGUGAAGAAGGUUUUCGGAUCGUAAAGCUCGGUUGUAAGAGAAGAACGAGUGUGAGAGUGGAAAGUUCACACUGUGACGGUAUCUUACCAGAAAGGGACGGCUAACUACGUG
rnacentral:rRNA from 1 species